rnacentral:rRNA from 1 species
GUGGGGAAUUUUGGACAAUGGGCGAAAGCCUGAUCCAGCCAUGCCGCGUGCAGGAUGAAGGCCUUCGGGUUGUAGACUGCUUUUGUACGGAACGAAAAGACUCCUGCUAAUAAAGGGGGUCCAUGACGGUACCGUAAGAAUAAGCACCGGCUAACUACGUGCCAGCAGCCGCGGUAAUACGUAGGGUGCAAGCGUUAAUCGGAAUUACUGGGCGUAAAGCGUGCGCAGGCGGUGAUAUAAGACAGAUGUGAAAUCCCCGGGCUCAACCUGGGAACUGCAUUUGUGACUGUAUAGCUAGAGUACGGUAGAGGGGGAUGGAAUUCCGCGUGUAGCAGUGAAAUGCGUAGAUAUGCGGAGGAACACCGAUGGCGAAGGCAAUCCCCUGGACCUGUACUGACGCUCAUGCACGAAAGCGUGGGGAGCAAACAGGAUUAGAAACCCGUGUAGUCC